GGCAUGGAAGCCAGCUUGGACCGCAUGACGAAACACCAAGUGAAGCUAGCUUCAGCUCGGACUGAAAGCCCAAAGCAGAGCUCUGGCCCGAGGGAACAUCAGCAGUUCAAUGUAGAUAACAGCUCUGCACGUUCAGCUGCACGACCACAGCAAGACAAUGACAGCCAAACUGGUCACUCGGUUGUAGUUUGAUGAAAAAGAAAGCAAAGAAUGAAUACAUCUGACGACGUUUUGUUUGAGAUUGAAUCUGAAAUGUUGGAAGUAUGACAAUGCACUGAUUUCUAAUUUAGG